GAGUUUGAUCCUGGCUCAGGACGAACGCUGGCGGCGUGCCUAAUACAUGCAAGUGGAACGCACGAGGUACACCGUAGUUUACUACACCGUACUUUGUGAGUCGCGAACGGGUGAGUAACGCGUAGGUAACCUACCUUUUAGCGGGGGAUAACUAUUGGAAACGAUAGCUAAUACCGCAUAAGAUAUCUUACUGCAUGGUAAGAUAUUAAAAGAUGCAAUUGCAUCACUAAGAGAUGGACCUGCGUUGUAUUAGCUAGUAGGUGAGGUAACGGCUCACCUAGGCAACGAUACAUAGCCGACCUGAGAGGGUGAUCGGCCACACUGGGACUGAGACACGGCCCAGACUCCUACGGGAGGCAGCAGUAGGGAAUCUUCGGCAAUGGGGGGAACCCUGACCGAGCAACGCCGCGUGAGUGAAGAAGGUUUUCGGAUCGUAAAGCUCUGUUGUAAGAGAAGAACGAGUGUGAGAGUGGAAAGUUCACACUGUGACGGUAACUUACCAGAAAGGGACGGCUAACUACGUGCCAGCAGCCGCGGUAAUACGUAGGUCCCGAGCGUUGUCCGGAUUUAUUGGGCGUAAAGCGAGCGCAGGCGGUUAGAUAAGUCUGAAGUUAAAGGCUGUGGCUUAACCAUAGUACGCUUUGGAAACUGUUUAACUUGAGUGCAGAAGGGGAGAGUGGAAUUCCAUGUGUAGCGGUGAAAUGCGUAGAUAUAUGGAGGAACACCGGUGGCGAAAGCGGC
rnacentral:rRNA from 1 species